UAGGGAAUUUUCGGCAAUGGGCGAAAGCCUGACCGAGCAACGCCGCGUGAGGGAAGAAGGUCUUCGGAUCGUAAACCUUUGUCAUCGAGGACGAUAAUGACGGUACUCGAGGAGGAAGCCCCGGCUAACUACGUGCCAGCAGCCGCGGUAACACGUAGGGGGCGAGCGUUGUCCGGAAUUACUGGGCGUAAAGGGCGCGUAGGCGGCCUAAUAAGUCAGAUGUGAAAAUCCUGGGCUUAACUUAGGGCUUGCAUUUGAAACUGUUGGGCUUGAGGACAGGAGAGGAAAGCGGAAUUCCCAGUGUAGCGGUGAAAUGCGUAGAUAUUGGGAGGAACACCAGUGGCGAAGGCGGCUUUCUGGACUGCACCUGACGCUGAGGCGCGAAAGCCAGGGGAGCGAAC
rnacentral:rRNA from 1 species